GCCAGCAUAGUGUAGUAGUUUGAACAUUGGACUAUGAUUCCUCAAACCAGGGUUCAAAUCUCUGCUCAGCCA